rnacentral:tRNA from 1 species
AGCAGCGUGGCUCAGUGGAAAGAGCCCGGGCUUGUAGGUCAAAGAUCAUGGGUUCAAAUCCCAGCUCAGCUA